UAUUUUCCCUCACACUCUCUCUUUUACCCUAACGACGGCCCCUUCGAACCCGCACCCCGCCAUCGCCCAUUCCGCUCUUCUUUCUCUGUCUCUUUUUCUCUCAAUUAUCAGAAAACCCUUUCUUUUCCCCUCAUUCACUCCCGACAAUCGUUGUUGACAACUGUGACAAAUCAUGGAGAAGCCUGAAAACCAUUUCAAUAAUGACAAUAACAGGGAAAGAGAAGCAUCUCAUCUUGCUGCAUUGUUGAAAGAAAUGAAAGAAGGACUGGAUACUGUUAGGCUUAAAAUUCAAACUUUAACUGCCAAGGUGAAAAGUCAAAAUUCUACAGCCGAUGGGUUCAGCUAUCUUGAAGCUAAAAAUUUGCUGCUUUUGAAUUAUUGUCAAUCCCUUGUUUAUUAUUUGUUGCGAAAGGCUAAGGGAUAUUCGAUAGAAGACCAUCCUGUUGUUCGAAGUAUUGUAGAGAUAAGAUUAUUUUUAGAGAAGAUUCGACCGAUCGACAAAAAACAACAAUACCAAAUCCAAAAACUAAUUAAAGUCAGUGAAAAUACAACAAAUAAUACCAGUGAGAAGGAGCCAGUUGCAUCCAAUAAGAGUGAGGAUGUAUCAAAGUAUCGUCCAAAUCCUGACAUGCUUGUUAGCAAAGUAGAACCAACAGCUCAUGAUGGUGAUGGUGUUUAUCAUGGUCCUAGAUUUGCCCCAACAUCUAUGGAUCUAGAUAAGCCUUCUAAGGGAGAAAGAAAUGCCAGCCGAAGAGACAGGGAACUUCUGAAACAAGCUCAGAACAGUGAUUAUAUCAAGACAUUAGUGAAUGAUAUGGAGGAAAGACCUGAAGAGAUAAAAGAUUUUGAGGGAACCAGCAGAGAAGUGGACAAUUAUAUUAGAAAAAUGGAGAAGCUUGCUAAGGUGGAGGAGGAUGAAUUCACGCGCAUUCCUCGUACGAAAGAAGAGAGGAAGAAAGAGAAGUACUUGAAGAAAGCGAAAAAUGGGAUGCAAGGUCUAACUGAUAGUUUAUUUGAUGAAAUCAAAGGAUUACCCUUUGAAGAUAAUACUGGAGAUCAUGCAAUGGGCUAUAAAAAUGGCAGCAGAAGAAAUGGGAAGCUGAAGAAGCGAAAGAGGAAACAUUGAAGAAACUGCUAUUUCGGAAUUACUGCUUGCUGUUGAAGGAAGUAAUACAAGGGAGUAUUAGAGCCACAGAGUUAGAUUUGGUUGGUUCUCUUCAAUUCCUAGAUGUGAGCCAAUUACCCUGAAUUCUGCCAGCCAGCUGCGCCAGCCAGCUUCCGUCUAACUUUAAACACCACCUUCGUGCCAUCUCCAGCUUCAAAUACCACUAUCGGGCCACCUCCAGAUAAAUGGAUUCCAAUAAUGAUUUAGCUCGUCAAAAUGAUGAAUUUGUCAAUACUAAGAGUUAUGAAAACGAAGUUAAACGUGGUACAACUAUUCUUCAAAAGAUCAUCAAAACAAGAAGUGGGAUGGAAUCAAAGUGGUCAGCCAAUUGAGCCCAACAAUCCAAUGAUGCUUCAAGAGACGAAGUUCGAUCAACCAUUAAGUCGUCGUAUUUUGUGCAAGGAGGCUCAUUUGAAUAAGGAUGUAAUAGUUGAUAAUGAAGUUGUUCUACAAGGAUAGAACAAUGUGGUGUCUCAUCUUGCGUGCUAUAUUUAUCAUCCCCUACUCAUUGCAUGGUUGGAAAAGGAACAUUGUACAAUACAUUGGGAGAAGUAUUACACCAUAAUCCGGUCCCUGUCAGCCAUGUUAAAGUUUCACAUGUGAUUGCUUUAGAACCAAUUGCACCAUUGUCUAUACCCGACAAUGAUACAAAUAUGAAAUUUUUGGGAGAAGCAAUAGGUAGUAACGUGGAAUGACCCAAAAAUCUUGUUGGCAUAAAUAUGGUAUGUUUAAUUGCUAUGUACGUUUAAUUGUAUUAUUAUGAUUGAUUAUGUUUAAUUGCUGAU